AAUAAGGAAAAUAAAAAGGUUGGAAGUAUAUAGUUAUUUUAGAAAAGAACUUCCAUCUUUUUAUGAAUUUCAUCAUUUAAUUUUGUGUGUGUAUGAAUCUUGGUCGUGUUUGGACAAAUUGAGGUAUUAGGUUGAAUAGACAAUGAACACAAGGGAUUAGUAGAAGGCUAUUUAUUUGAUAAAGGAUUUGCAUGGAAUUCAAUGCCUCCAAUUUAUCAAGACUUCGAGACCGUCUUACCCGUAGGUGAACAGCCUCAAAAUCGAUCUCGAGAAGUUAUCCAGAAUGGUGGAUAUUCAGACAUGUUCUAAAUGUCUGAACAUCUUGAGAUGUUCAUGCGGAAGGUAUAUAUCCUAUAACAUAAAUGUAUAAAGAUUUAAGAUUUAAGACGUUUAUAAUUACAUAUAAUUAAUAUUUCUGGCAUCUAUAUCUAGAUUUUCGAAAGAAAAAAAAAAUGGUCCCUAAAUGUAUGUGAGAUUUUUUUAUAUACCAAACAUUUAACGGUUAUGAGAAUAAUGUUAUACUAUAUCUCUCCUCUCUCUGCCAACAUGAGCUUAGCUCAGUGUUAUUGAUAUAUAUCUUCAAUCAUGAGAUUGUGUGUUCAAAUCUCUUACUCCACUUAUUGUACUAAAAAUAUAUAUAUCCCUCCUCUCUUGAAAAAAAUUUAUAUUUCGUGGGUCCACAUAUUUAUUGUAUUCACUUUUCUCCUCUUACCUUUUUUCUCACAUGAUUAAUGAGACACAUAACUUUUUUUUAA